rnacentral:rRNA from 1 species
AUACGGAGGGGGCAAGCGUUAUUCGGAAUUAUUGGGCGUAAAGGGCGCGUAGGCGGCUUGACAAGUCAGGGGUGAAAUCCCUCGGCUCAACCGAGGAACUGCCUCUGAAACUGUCUGGCUUGAGGCCGGGAGAGGGUAGCGGAAUUCCCAGUGUAGAGGUGAAAUUCGUAGAUAUUGGGAAGAACACCAGUUGCGAAGGCGGCCACCUGGACCGGUACUGACGCUGAGGUGCGAAAGCGUGGGGAGCAAACAGGAUUAGAUACCCCGGUAGUCC